rnacentral:lncRNA from 1 species
UCAACACUUGAAAAGUAAAGACUAAAAUGUAUGCCUCUGUUAUCUGGGCGGGCUCCCAACUUCAACACUUGAAAGUAAAAACUGAAUGUAUGCCUCUGUUAUUAUGGGCGGGCUCCCAAUUUCAACACUUGAAAGUAAAACUGAAAUGUAUUCCUCUCGUUAUACAGGUGGGUGCCUGGUUUUAGGAAUGCAAAUACUGAAAUGUAUUCCUCUCGUUAUACAGGUGGGCGCCUGGAUUUAGGAAAAUGACUCUUUUUUUCAAA